GACGAACGCUGGCGGCGUGCCUAAUACAUGCAAGUAGAACGCUGAAGGAGGAGCUUGCUUCUCUGGAUGAGUUGCGAACGGGUGAGUAACGCGUAGGUAACCUGCCUGGUAGCGGGGGAUAACUAUUGGAAACGAUAGCUAAUACCGCAUAACAGUAGAUAUCGCAUGAUAUCUACUUGAAAGGUGCAAUUGCAUCACUACCAGAUGGACCUGCGUUGUAUUAGCUAGUUGGUGAGGUAACGGCUCACCAAGGCGACGAUACAUAGCCGACCUGAGAGGGGGAUCGGCCACACUGGGACUGAGACACGGCCCAGACUCCUACGGGAGGCAGCAGUAGGGAAUCUUCGGCAAUGGACGGAAGGCUGAACGAGCAACGCCGCGUGAGUGAAGAAGGUUGUCGGAUCGUAAAGAUCUGUUGUAAGAGAAGAAAGAGUGUGAGAAUGGAAAGUUCACACUGUGACGGUAUCUUACCAGAAAGGGACGGCUAACUACGUG
rnacentral:rRNA from 1 species